rfam:Chelonia mydas contig267026, whole genome shotgun sequence.
UCAAAGGCUCUUUUAAGAGCCACCCUCAAUACUCACUAAAUGAGCU